AAAGGAAUAGACGGGGGCCCGCACAAGCAGCGGAGCGUGUGGUUUAAUUCGAGGCUACACGAAGAACCUUACCUGGGCUUGACAUGGUGGUGGUAGGGAAGCGAAAGCGGACCGACCUUCGGGAGCCAUCACAGGUGCUGCAUGGCUGUCGUCAGCUCGUGUCGUGAGAUGUUCGGUUAAGUCCGGUAACGAGCGCAACCCUUGCCGUUAGUUACAAGUGUCUAGCGGGACUGCCCGUAGAAAGCGGGAGGAAGGUGGGGAUGACGUCAAGUCAGCAUGGCCUUAAUGUCCAGGGCUACACACACGCUACAAUGGCCGGUCCAAUGGGUCGCCAACCCGCGAGGGGGAGCCAAUCCAGGAAAGCCGGUCGUAGUUCGGAUUGCAGGCUGCAACCCGCCUGCAUGAAGUCGGAGUUGCUAGUAAACGCCGGUCAGCCAUACGGCGUUGAAUACGUUCCCGGGCCUUGUACACACCGCCCGU
rnacentral:rRNA from 1 species